AGUGUUGUGGCUCAGCGGUAGAGUACUUACCUAGCAUGUACGCGGCACUGGGUUCGAUUCUCAGCACCACAU
rnacentral:tRNA from 1 species